CCGGUGCAGCCGCGGGAGCUCAGAGCCGCAUUGCAGCCGUCCGCGGAGCAGCGGGUCGAGGCCCAGCGCGGCUGUCCCCUCCGCUAGGCAUUUAGGAGGUGGGAGGAGCGGCGCGCCGUGCGCACGGGAAAUUUGAUAGGGGAAGAACAUCUUUCACGGAGCACCAGACAUUCACGACGGUGGAGUUUGCUCCGAUGCCCCUCAGGCCGGGGCUUUGCGUUUACCGUCCUGCCCUCCCUGGAGACGAUCCCAAAGUUAACUUCGAAAACGCUCUCCGUGCGGGGAGAAGCCCCGCGGUCCAGCACUUCCUAAACCCCAGAGGCCUCCAGAAAGAAGUCCCUCCCCCCGCCUUUCAGAAAAGAGAUGCUAUUUUCAUAGCAAACAACUUGGUUAUGAGCAGAGUCAAGGUCAGACGACGGAAUGGGGAGUUAGGGGGGCUCUUAAAACCUUAGGACGGCCGAGCGAAGCAGGCUGUAUCCCCAUUCCCACUUCACAGAUGAGGAAACAGGCGCGGGAAAGUUAAGGGGCGUGCAGCGGCUGAGGGGAUGAGCAGCGAGAUGGAUGAGAAGAUGCCGGUGGGCACCCAGCUCCCUCUGGCAGGGAAAAAAUCGCUGGCUAGAGAUUCAUGUGCGAAAAUAUACAUGUACGCUUGUUAAGAGCUGGGGACACGUCAUGGAUCAUCUCAUUCAUCUCAACCCUGGCCGCACAUUAAAAUUGCCUGGGAAAGUUUUAAAAUUCCAAACGUUCAGGCCCUACCCCAGGCCAAAGGAACUGACUUCUUUUCCUUAAUCUCAUAUCUGCAGUAACGUCAGAACAAUGCCAGGCCUUCUUUUGCCACGGUUAGCAUGUGAUCCUUCUUGCGCAAAGAUGAAGUGAGCUCUUCUCGGGGGGAGGACGAAGACCCCCCGAUACUUGGUGAGCUACAGCGCCAGAGCCUGAAAGGUGCAGAACCCUUGCUGAGCUGGAGAGAAAGGAAGUCACAGACACCCGCCCCCGCCCCGAGAUCCAGUGGGCGGAGCUGAGCUGAGGGUGGCUGGCGAAUGCCCCGUGAAGAGGCUGAUGAGACAGGAGUCAGCGCUGAGAGCAGGGUGGCGUGGCGUGAACACCAGCCUCACUCGGUUGAUGCAGCUCGUUUCCUGCGGUAACCAAAUGAGCCUCGCAGCUGAGCGCUGAUGGUCUGGCGCAGCCAGGCGGAUGCAGCUUCCACAGCCUUUAGGUGAGGCGGCCAGAGCCCAGGGGUGAGUGAGGAAAUGCCUGGCCUCCCCAGGCAUCCCCGUCCUCUCCCUCCCCCAAGCCCCUCUCAGUCUCCCGCUCCGUGUCUUGUGCCUCCUCUGUCCAGCGUUGGUACCAAGCCACGCCUGUCACACACACACACCUCAGCUCACCUCAGCUCAGAGGGCUCUAGGCCUCGCUUCUGGUAUCCCGAGGGGCUGUGACACAGGGCAGAUGUUUUUUAAUCGAGGAGAGCAAGGUGGGUCCAAGACCUAGAGAAAAGGGUCUGGGGAGGAUGGGACUGAGUGGCGGAAGGCCAGUGUCCCCUGAGACUGCAAUGAUGAAAAGCCAUCCAGGCAGAGGGAAGGCUGAGACACGAAUUUGCCUGCCCGUGGCUCAGUACUACCGUGUGGUGACACGGGUCAGUGUGCGCGAAUCACGUAGCUCUGGUUACACAUGUCGGGAAAAUGAAAGCACCAUCCCUGGAGCAGAGCUCACUGAGGUUGGCUGGUGUUUGCUAAGCUCCGGGAGGACCCGGAUAGUGGCUGCUCUGUCCCCUUCACCGCGGGGUGGGUCUCACCUGUGAGUCACGCACAGCACUCCCCUUGAGGAAAGGAUUUUGCAGAAGCAGAGGCAGCUCUGCCCCAUGUCCCCCACCUCCACCCCACACCCUCUCCGCAGCAGGGGACCCAUGACUGCCAGUCGUAGGCUGCUGAGACCCAAAACAAGGGUUCCCAACCUCAGCACCGUGGACAUUUGGGAUCAGAGUUGUGAGGACUGUCCCGUGUGUUGCAGGAUGUCUAGCAGGAACCCUGGCCUCUCCCAACUAGAUGCCAGGCGUGCGCAUGUGCACACACAUGGUUGUCUCCAGACGUUGCCACGUGUCCCAAAGGGAGCGAAGUCGGCCCUGAUGAAGAAGCACUGCUCUAAUAAGAAGGAAGGGGACCCAGUGCCCCACAAAUACUGCAGAACACGUAUUUAUCAGUGAUGGCCCCAUGGAAAGGGGCUGUUUCUCGGAUUGGAAGCCUUCACUACAGAACGGGGCCCCUAGCCAAAGUCCACUUCGUCCGGUCACAGCAUCCUUCCUGUGCUCCUUGAACAGGCCGAGCUCAUCCCAUGGCAGGGUCUGGGCACCUCCUCUUCCCUCUGUCCGGAGUGCUCCUCUGCCGAAUAUCCAUGGGAAGGCCACCUCAUCCCCGGCAGAGACUCGGCCUGGCAUGCAGUGGACGCUUGGACCGUACUUAUUGGAUAGACAAGUGGGAGGAUGGACAGGGGCCAGAGAUGUGCACAGGGGCUGGAGGGCGUGGAGAAAGCUCCGUUUACGCUGUUGGCUUGGGUCUGGGCAUUAUGGGAAGCAGGGGGCAAUCCUUUCCCUCCUUGGUGAUCACAGCGGGUGGAGGUAGUGCCUACUUCUCACUCAUCUCAGACAGGGGACAGCUGCCCCAAGCGGGAAGUCCUGCACUUCCGAUAAAGAACCCGGUGGAACCAGCACCGUGACUCACACAGUCCUGGGGACCCGCAUGGAAAUUUACAGAACAGACCAGAGUUUCUUUGAGGCCUGGAAAACGGUGCUCCUGGGGCAUCCACUACACUAAUGAGAGUGAUUGUGCCGGGGGAGGUGUUUCAGGCCAGCAGCAGUUUUCUGAAGCGUUAAGCAAAGCUCUCAGGGAGCAAGGUGAAGGGUUGUGGGAAUUGAUAUCCCGAGCUCUGAGGAAGUGGCUGAAAUUGGCUCGGGAUCUGGUGUAUGUGCUGGCUGUGUGAGGCCUCAGUGAGGAGAUCCUGGCUACAGCCAGGUUGGCCCAUGUGGUCCUACAAGGCUGUGGCCAGUCACACCCUACAUACUGGGAUAUUAGGGCCGCCCCUCAUUCUUAUAAGUAGAUGGGACCCCACCUUCCCAGACAAUGAAGGGAUUCACGCUCCGAGUGAGUCCAGAAAUGGCAGUCUACCCCAGUCUAAAGAGGGUCGGGUUAGGCAGAAGGGCUGAGUUCCGAUGACCCCGGCCACCUCCGAACAGAUAGAGCCCUUCAGCCCUUAGGCCACAGCCGGAGUGUAGUAAACAGUGUAUAAACGCGCAUCAGUAAGUUUUGUAUUUUGUACUUUCAUGUAAGUAUUUUGCUUUAUUUUGGGAUUUUUUUCAUCAUAAUGCAAUUUUAUGGCACAUGAAAAACCCAAGGACUCAGAAAAAGACCCCUGACUUUCAGCUGCUGGCGUGGUCAUUUGUACUUACUCCUCAGCACAGUGAACACCAUCCACGCAGGGACACGCUCCCCUUGACGUCUCCAGUGAGCGCUGGAGCAUCUAAACCUAACCCAGAGAACUCCCUGGUGGUCCAGCGGCUAACCAAGCAGAGCAAGUCCUAAGCUUUCACUGCCAAGAGCUCAGGUUCGACCCCUGGUCGGGGAACUAAGACCCCACAAGCCACACAGCAUGGCCAAAAACAUAAUAAAUAUAUAAAUAAAUAAAUAAACCUAA